rnacentral:misc_RNA from 1 species
GAUGAAGAACGCAGCGAAAUGCGAUAAGUAAUGUGAAUUGCAGAAUUCAGUGAAUCAUCGAAUCUUUGAACGCACCUUGCGCUCCUUGGUAUUCCGAGGAGCAUGCCUGUUUGAGUGUCAUGAAAUUCUCAACUACACUGACUUUGAAUUGGUGUGGCUUGGAUUUGGGGGGAAAAUUGUUGUGGGCUUUUUGUAUAGUCUGCUCCCCUGAAAUUGAUUAGCGGUACCUUUGUGGAACUGUCUACAGGUGUGAUAAUUAUCUACAUCUUAGACAUCUGCUGGAAUGCUGCUUUCUAAACCUUACUUGUAUUGACAAUCUUGACCUCAAAGCAGGUAGGACUACCCGCUGAACUUAAGCAUAUCAAUAAGCGGAGGA